AGCAAGCAAGGGGCUAAGAGGAGGGGGGUCCGGUGCCGGCCAUUUGAAAACGCCCCGGUGGCAGUGAGGGGCACCAGAGUCCCAGUCUAGUUAGUUGGGAAGCAGUGACAUCCCCCCAGAAUCCCCCAGGUGGGCUGGCCCCCAUCUCAGGCCACAAGGAGCCUCACCUGGACCAGACACAGGAGAGGAAAGGACACGACACGGUCCGGCAGGCGCCAUCCCUACUGCCCUGAUGGUGAAGGAGCAAGUGCCCCAGCAGGGGCCUCCCAAGGCCCAGAGGAGGGCAGGCCACGGGGCCUGGAAGUGCAGCUCCUCCCUGGAGCUUCCCGACAGAAGACAGAGGUUCCCCCAGGCUGGGCGACGUUUCCUGAAGACUGUGGGGAGCAGAGAGGAGGAAAGGGCUCAUCCUCUGGGAGCGGCCCCCCAGCCUGCCCACAGCUGACACCAGAAGGCCAAGAGGCGCAUCCCCGAGGAAGCGGCCGUUGAGCAGACACCAAACCCAUGAAGAGGAGACCGGCAGGGGAGCAGCGCAGCCCCCGGGAGCCAGAGGCGGCGGGUGUGGCCUCCCUGGAGGAGUGUCCGAGAGGAAGAGGCCAGCAGUGGCCAAAUGGGGCAGGUGCUGAGGCCUUUGGUGAGGGUUUCAGAAUCCAGCCCGAGGGCAGCGGGAGCCCUUUCAGGAAUUAAGGAGGGGAGCCACAGGACCCUAUUGGCAUGUUGAGAAAUCACUCUGGGAGGGUGUCAGGGAAGGAUGGGUGGGAAAUCUGGUGUUCGGGGUAGUAGAGGCAGGGAGACACGGUAGGAGGCCACGGCAGAUAUUCGAUUGUAUAAAAUAUCAAAUUCCAUGACGGUGCUGUUUGGCUGGGAGACACAGAGCAGGGGGAGGGGAGUGGCGUCAGCCUGUUGGAAGACUCCAUUUACUGAAAUGUGCAGAACUGGCCGCUCUGGAGACAGGAUGCGGCCGGCCCAGGGCUGGGGCUGACGGGACGGGAGGGGUGACGCGGUGGCAGGUCUCUCUUUGGAGGGAGGAAAUAUCUUAAAAUUGACGGUGGCGAUGGUGGCUCAACCCUGUGAAUGUAUUAAAAUCCCAUUUCAUUGUGCACUCUAAAGGGAUGAGGGGACCUUCUUGCCACAAAGCUCUUUGAAAAAUAAAAUGAAAGGGGAGUCGAGGCUUGGUCCCAGAGGGCUCCAAUGCCUGGUGGAGGGUGGGGCACACAGGCGGGGCAGGCGGUGGAGCCCAGGCCCCUCCCCUGCCCCUCUCCCGUGGAGGCCGGACUCCCUGCUGCCGCGGCCAGGCACCCUGU